rnacentral:snRNA from 1 species
AUCGCUUUCCAGCAUUUUGGCGAAGAUGUAAAUGUAAUACCUUGUCCUUAUCCGUUUAAUAUCGAAGAUGUUCUGUAUGUGACCGCUAUGUAUUUGAGCGUGUUUUUGAAAUUGGGAGACAGAAUGGGAGUUUCCUGUACCUAUUCCCCAUAUCGACUUGGUAUUGUUAGUAUUUCUGAGAACCGUCCAUCUCUU